UGAAGCAACUAUAGGAAAGCUCAAAAGAUAGAAAACACACGGAAAUUAAAUAAAAACGUAGAAAGUCAUUACAUUAACCAUGUAUUCACUAGGGAUAGAGGGUUUUCAGGAUAGAAGCAUAGUCACUGCUUGACGCCACAACAUGCUUCUGAAUGUAUUGGUGUGAGUGGUAAUAAGGUUUUAAUUUUGAAGGGAUUUUUGUGGGUGAUUUUGUGUGACCAUGGCUGGGGAAUCUGGAUGUUGAAACUAUAGAAAGAGGUUGAUCAACCAUCGGAGAAGGCUUGCCAGUGGCUGACGCGACCGUGACUGCUGGAUUUUGGUGUUUUGCAUGAGGAUUUAGGAGAGAUAAGGAAGCUUUUUUUGUGAGAAGAAGUGGUGAUUAAGAAGAAUAAUGG
rnacentral:lncRNA from 1 species